AGAACUAGUAAUCUAUAAAGUCAAAUGAAGGAGUAACGUCCUGAAGGAUUUUCCCUAAUACUCCGUUUUGCAUAUAAUUUUAGUACAUUUAUAUGUAAAAAGCACGGUAAAGACGAUUGAGAAGUUUCCCUAACAGUAAAAGCUGAGGAAAUGCGAACUAGAGGUAGUCGAGAAUCUUAUAGAUCGGGGGUCUAAAAA
rnacentral:ncRNA from 1 species